rnacentral:rRNA from 1 species
UGGGGAAUUUUGGACAAUGGGGGAAACCCUGAUCCAGCCAUCCCGCGUGUGCGAUGAAGGCCUUCGGGUUGUAAAGCACUUUUGGCAGGAAAGAAACGUCGCGGGUUAAUACCCCGCGGAACUGACGGUACCUGCAGAAUAAGCACCGGCUAACUACGUGCCAGCAGCCGCGGUAAUACGUAGGGUGCAAGCGUUAAUCGGAAUUACUGGGCGUAAAGCGUGCGCAGGCGGUUCGGAAAGAAAGAUGUGAAAUCCCAGAGCUUAACUUUGGAACUGCAUUUUUAACUACCGGGCUAGAGUGUGUCAGAGGGAGGUGGAAUUCCGCGUGUAGCAGUGAAAUGCGUAGAUAUGCGGAGGAACACCGAUGGCGAAGGCAGCCUCCUGGGAUAACACUGACGCUCAUGCACGAAAGCGUGGGGAGCAAACAGGAUUAGAUACCCUGGUAGUCCACGCCCUAAACGAUGUCAACUAGCUGUUUGGGUCUUCGGACCUUGGUAGCGCAGCUAACGCGUGAAGUUGACCGCCUGGGGAGUAC